GUGGCGCCCAGCCGGAAUGGCAUGAUCCUGAAGCCCCACUUCCACAAGGAUUGGCAGCAGUGUGGAUACUUGGUUCAACCAGUAGGCGCACAAGAUCUGCAGGCACAAGGCAGGGCAGGUGAAAGCGUGCAGCAUCGCCCCUCGUCCCGCGACCGGCCCCAUCAGGCUCAUCAUGAGGUGCCCUAAAGUGAGAUACCACACCAAGGUCUGGGCUGGCAGGGGGCUUCAGCCUGGAGGAGCUCAGGGUGGCUGGCAUCCACAAGAAAAUAGCUCGCACCAUCGGCAUCUCUGUGGACCCGAGGAGGCGAGAAACAAGUCCAUGGAGUCACUGCAGGCCAACGUGCAGCACCUGAAGGAGGACCACCCCAAGCUCAUACUUUUCCCCAGGAAGCCUUCUGCUCCAAAGAAAGGAGACAGCUUUGCUGAAGAACUUAAGCUGGCCACGCAGCUGACAGGACCCGUGAUGCCCAUCUGGAAUGUGUACAAAAAGGAAAAGGCCAGAGUCAUCACAGAAGAAAAGAACUUUAAGGCUUUUUUGCCAGUCUCCGAAUGGCCUGUGCCAAUGCCAGACUCUGGCAUCCGAGCAAAAAGGGCGAAGGAAGCUGCAGAGCAAGACGUUGAAAAGAAAAAGUAA
rnacentral:lncRNA from 1 species